UGAGUACGAGAUGCUACGGCAUUGAAGCAGUCUAUGUCAGACUUCCAAGAAAAGCUCGGAAUAUCAUAAACAAAGAAUGCCUGUACCAUAACCGACACAGGUGGGUAGGUAGAGUAUACUAAGGGGCGCGAGAUAACUCUCUCUAAGGAACUCGGCAAAAUGACUCCGUAACUUCGGGAGAAGGAGUGCCUUCUUUUAGAAGGUUGCAAUAAUAAGAUCCAAUCAACUGUUUACCAAAAACACAGGUCUCCGCUAAGUCGUAAGACGAUGUAUGGGGGCUGACGCCUGCCCAGUGCCAGAAGGUUAAAGAAGUUGGUUAGUUUCGGCGAAGCUGAUGACUGAAGCCCUGGUGAACGGCGGCCGUAACAAUAACGGUCCUAAGGUAGCGAAAUUCCUUGUCGGGUAAGUUCCGACCCGCACGAAAGGCGUAAUGAUUUGGAUACUGUCUCGGAGAGGGGCUCGGUGAAAUAGACUUGUCUGUGAAGAUGCGGACUACCUGCACCAGGACAGAAAGACCCUAUGAAGCUUUACUGUAACUUGAGAUUGAAAUUGGACUUUAUUUGCGCAGUAUAGGUGGGAGACGUUGAGAAUAUUCUUGCGGGAGUAUUGGAGUCAUCAGUGAGAUACCACUCUUGUAAUGUUAGAUUUCUAACUUUGUAUCAUUAUCUGGUCAAAGGACAGUUUCAGGCGGGCAGUUUGACUGGGGCGGUCGCCUCCCAAACGGUAACGGAGGCGCACAAAGGUUUCCUCUGAACGUGUAGAAAUCGUAUCUAGAGUGUAAAGGCAUAAGGAAGCUUGACUGUGAGACCUACAAGUCGAGCAGGGACGAAAGUCGGUCUUAGUGAUCUGACGGUGCUGAGUGGAAAGGCUGUCACUCAACGGAUAAAAGUUACUCUAAGGAUAACAGGCUGAUCUCCCCCAAGAGUUCACAUCGACGGGGAGGUUAGGCACCUCGAUGUCGGCUCAUCGCAUCCUGGGGCGGUAGUACGUCCCAAGGGUUGGGCUGUUCGCCCAUGAAAGCGGUACGCGAGCUGGGUUCAGAACGUCGUGAGACAGUUCGGUCCAUAUCCGGUGUAGGCGUUAGAAUAUUGAGAGGAGCCUUCUUUAGUACGAGAGGACCGAGAAGGACAUACCUCUGGUGUACCAGUUAUCGUGCCAACGGUAAACGCUGGGUAGCUAUGUAUGGAGUGGAUAACCGCUGAAAGCAUCUAAGUGGGAAGCCCACCUCAAGAUAAG
rnacentral:rRNA from 1 species